GAAAUUCUGUGGUUUUCUUCCACUUCGGAAGUGUGAUUGUUUAGUUAAAAGAUGGGAGAGAGGGGAUAUUACUUUUUAUGUACAUUGAGAGUAUUUUAUAAUUUCUUGGCUAAAGAAUUAAAACAUAGCAAUGCAAAAUAUUCAAAAUCAAUAGCUAUAAGCACUCGGAAAAAAAUAGUGGCUGGGUAAGCCAGCAAAGCAAUGUUCCGGAGCAAACAUGCUUUAUUUUUUAGUCUGACGUGUUUUGAUAGAGUUCGUUGGAGUACCUCUUUGCAUAUUUGAAUUAGCU
rnacentral:misc_RNA from 1 species